rnacentral:rRNA from 1 species
UCCCCUAGUAACUGCGAGUGAAGAGGGAAAAGCUCAAAUUUAAAAUCUGGCAGCUUCGCUGUCCGAGUUGUAAUUUAGAGAAGUGUUGCCCGCGCUGGACCGUGUACAAGUCUCCUGGAAUGGAGCGUCAUAGAGGGUGAGAAUCCCGUCUUUGACACGGACUCCCAGUGCAUUGUGGUACGCUCUCAAAGAGUCGUGUUGUUUGGGAAUGCAGCACUAAAUGGGUGGUAAAUUCCAUCUAAAGCUAAAUAUUGGCGAGAGACCGAUAGCAAACAAGUACCGUGAGGGAAAGAUGAAAAGAACUUUGGAAAGAGAGUUAAACAGUACGUGAAAUUGUUGAAAGGGAAACGCUUAAAGUCCAGUCGCGUCGGUUGGGAAUCAGUCUCGCUCUUUUGCUUGACGUACUUCCUAGCUGACGGGUCAGCAUCAGUUUUGAUCGUUGGAUAAAGGUUGGAGGAAUGUGGCACCUUCGGGUGUGUUAUAGCCUCUGGUUGUAUACAACGGUUGGGACUGAGGAACUCAGCACGCCGAAAGGCCGGGUACUUGUACCACGUACGUGCUUAGGAUGCUGGCAUAAUGGCUUUAAUCGACCCGUCUUGAAACACGGACCAAGGAGUCUAACAUGCCUGCGAGUAUUUGGGUGGAAAACCCGAGUGCGCAAUGAAAGUGAAAGUUGAGAACUCUGUAGAGUGCAUCGACGCCCGGACCAGACGUUCUCUGACGGAUCCGCGGUAGAGCAUGUAUGUUGGGACCCGAAAGAUGGUGAACUAUGCCUGAAUAGGGUGAAGCCAGAGGAAACUCUGGUGGAGGCUCGUAGCGAUNCUGACGUGCAAAUCGAUCGUCGAAUUUGGGUAUAGGGGCGAAAGA